rnacentral:rRNA from 1 species
AGCGAACGCUGGCGGCAUGCUUAACACAUGCAAGUCGCACGGAGGGUUUCGGCCCUUAGUGGCGGACGGGUGAGUAAUGCGUAGGGAUUUGUCGUUGGGUGGGGGACAACCUUGGGAAACUGGGGCUAAUACCGCAUGACGCCUAUGGGCCAAAGCCGAGAGGCGCCUGACGAGGAUCCUGCGUCCGAUUAGCUAGUUGGUUGGGUCACGGCUGACCAAGGCGAUGAUCGGUAGCUGGUCUGAGAGGAUGAUCAGCCACACUGGGACUGAGACACGG